rnacentral:rRNA from 1 species
AUAAUAAUUAGUCUUUUAAUUGAAGGCUGGUAUGAAGGAUUGAACGAAAUAAAUACUGUCUCAUUUUAAAUUAAUAUUUUAAUUUAAUUUUUAAGUUAAAAAGCUUAAAUGAUAAUAAAGGACGAGAAGACCCUAUAGAGCUUUAUAUUUAAAUUAAUUUGAUUUUUAAAGUUUUAAUUUUAUUUGAUUUAAUUAUUUUAUUGGGGCGAUAGUAAAAUUAAAUAAACUUUUAUAAUUUUUUUACAUAAAUAAAUGAAUUUUUGAUCCUAUAAUUUAGAUUAAUAGAUUAAGUUACCUUAGGGAUAACAGCGUUAUUUUUUUUAGAAGUUCGUAUUGGAAAAGAAGUUUGC